AAUGGCUCAUUAAAUCAGUUAUCGUUUAUUUGAUAGUACUUUACUACUUGGAUAACCGUGGUAAUUCUAGAGCUAAUACAUGCUGAAAACCUCAACUUCGGAAGGGGUGUAUUUAUUAGAUAAAAAACCAAUGCCUUUCGGGGCUCUUUGGUGAUUCAUGAUAACUUUUCAGAUCGCAUGGCCUUGCGCCGGCGACGGUUCAUUCAAAUUUCUGCCCUAUCAACUUUCGAUGGUAAGGUAUUGGCUUACCAUGGUUUCAACGGGUAACGGGGAAUUAGGGUUCGAUUCCGGAGAGGGAGCCUGAGAAACGGCUACCACAUCCAAGGAAGGCAGCAGGCGCGCAAAUUACCCAAUCCCGACACGGGGAGGUAGUGACAAUAAAUACUGAUACAGGGCUCUUUUGGGUCUUGUAAUUGGAAUGAGUACAAUUUAAACCUCUUAACGAGGAACAAUUGGAGGGCAAGUCUGGUGCCAGCAGCCGCGGUAAUUCCAGCUCCAAUAGCGUAUAUUAAAGUUGUUGCAGUUAAAAAGCUCGUAGUUGAACCUUGGGCCUGGCUGGCAGGUCCGCCUCACCGCGAGUACUUGUCCGGCCGGGCCUUUUUUCUGGAGAACCUCAUGCCCUUCACUGGGUGUGCUGGGGACCAGAACUUUUACUUUGAAAAAAUUAGAGUGUUCAAAGCAGGCCUUUGCUCGAAUACGUUAGCAUGGAAUAAUAGAAUAGGACGUGCGGUCCUAUUUUGUUGGUUUCUAGGACCGCCGUAAUGAUUAAUAGGGACAGUCGGGGGCAUCAGUAUUCAAUUGUCAGAGGUG
rnacentral:rRNA from 1 species